rnacentral:rRNA from 1 species
UACAGAGGUGGCGAGCGUUAUUCGGAAUUAUUGGGCGUAAAGGGCGCGUAGGCGGCCAAGCAAGUCCCGGGUGAAAUCCCUCGGCUCAACCGAGGAACUGCCUUGGAAACUGUUUGGCUCGAGGCCGGGAGAGGGUAGUGGAAUUCUCGGUGUAGCGGUGAAAUGCGUAGAUAUCGAGAGGAACACCUGCGGCGAAGGCGGGUUGCUGGGCUGACACUGACGCUGAUGCGCGAAAGCUAAGGGAGCGAACGGG